rnacentral:piRNA from 1 species
UGACUUUCAUCGUGAUAGGAUUCUUGAC